rnacentral:rRNA from 1 species
CUCGCUACUCACCUUCCACCCUUUGAAAACAAAUUAUUAUUGCUUUGGCGGGGCGUGGCUUUCGAGCCCCGUUGGCUUCGGCUGACGAGCCCCCGCCGGAGAACCCUCAAACUCGUUUUAAUUAUGAAGUCUGAAAAAAAAUUUAAUAGCGAUAAAACUUUCAACAACGGAUCUCUUGGUUCUGGCAUCGAUGAAGAACGCAGCGAAAUGCGAUAAGUAAUGUGAAUUGCAGAAUUCAGUGAAUCAUCGAAUCUUUGAACGCACAUUGCGCCCCCCGGUAUUCCGGCGGGCAUGCCUGUUCGAGCGUCAUUUCAACCCUCAAGCUUUGCUUGGUAUUGGUGGUAGGCUGCAUGGCCUCCCCCGAAAAAUAGCGGCGGAUAGUUUGGAUUCCCAGCGCAGUGACUUUUUAUACACGCUGAACAGGAUCCCCAGGCUCUCUCGCCGGACAACAAACAAUUUUUCUUAUGGUUGACCUCGGAUCAGGUAGGGAUACCCGCUGAACUUAAGCAUAUCAAUAAGCGGAGGAA